rnacentral:piRNA from 1 species
UAAUAUGGAAAAGCUGCUCUCAACCUUU